AAUCCGGUUGAUCCUGCCGGACCCCACUGCUAUCGGGUUGAGACUAAGCCAUGCGAGUUAGACUUCUUGGCAUAGUAGAGACGCAGCAUACGCUCAGUAACAGUGGCUAACCUCCCUUGAGACGAGGACAACCCGGAAACCUGGGGAUAAUCCGCGAUAGAUGAAAGCGCCUGGAAUGGUCUUCCGUCUAAAAGGUGUUAGGACCAUGCUUCCUGACAUCGCUCAAGGAUGGGGCCGCGACUGAUCAGGUUGUUGGCGGGGAAAAGGCCCACCAAGCCUAUAACCAGUACGGGCCAUGAUAGUGGCAGCCCGGAGAUGGGCACUGAGAUAAGGGCCCAGGCCCUACGGGGCGCAGCAGGCGCGAAAACUUGCCAAUGCGCGAAAGCGUGACGAGGUCAGCCCGAGUCGUCCGCUGAGGACGGCUUUUCUUUGGUUUAAGGAGCCGGGGGAAUAAGCGGGGGGCAA
rnacentral:rRNA from 1 species